rnacentral:rRNA from 1 species
GUAGGUGGCAAGCGUUGUCCGGAAUUAUUGGGCGUAAAGCGCGCGCAGGCGGUUCUUUAAGUCUGAUGUGAAAGCCCACGGCUCAACCGUGGAGGGUCAUUGGAAACUGGAGAACUUGAGUACAGAAGAGGAAAGCGGAAUUCCACGUGUAGCGGUGAAAUGCGUAGAGAUGUGGAGGAACACCAGUGGCGAAGGCGGCUUUCUGGUCUGUAACUGACGCGGAGGCGCGAAAGCGUGGGGAGCAAACAGGGAUUAGAUACCCUGGUAGUCCACGCCGUAAACGAUGAGUGCUAAGUGUUAGGGGGUUUCCGCCCCCUUAGUGCUGCAGCUAACGCAUUAAGCACUCCGCCUGGGGAGUACGACCGCAAGGUUG